rnacentral:rRNA from 1 species
GGAGGAAAAGAAACCAACAGGGAUUGCCUUAGUAACGGCGAGUGAAGCGGCAAAAGCUCAAAUUUGAAAUCUGGCACCUUCGGUGUCCGAGUUGUAAUUUGAAGAAGGUAACUUUGGAGUUGGCUCUUGUCUAUGUUCCUUGGAACAGGACGUCACAGAGGGUGAGAAUCCCGUGCGAUGAGAUGCCCAAUUCUAUGUAAAGUGCUUUCGAAGAGUCGAGUUGUUUGGG